rnacentral:rRNA from 1 species
CCUGCAGCUUAACUGUAGCAUUGCCUUUGAUACUGUUGGUCUUGAGUCAUAUUGAAGUAGAUAGAAUAUGUAGUGUAGCGGUGAAAUGCAUAGAUAUUACAUAGAAUACCGAUUGCGAAGGCAGUCUACUAAGUAUGUACUGACGCUGAUGAACGAAAGCGUGGGUAGCGAACGGGAUUAGAUACCCCGGUAGUCCACGCCGUAAACGUUGGACACUAGUUGUUGGAAUUAUUCAGUGACUAAGCGAAAGUGAUAAGUGUCCUACCUGGGGAGUACGGUCGCAAGAUUGAAACUCAAAGGAAUUGACGGGGGCCCGCACAAGCGGUGGAGCAUGUGGUUUAAUUCGAUGAUACGCGAGGAACCUUACCAGGGCUUAAAUGUACGUUGCAUAAUUUAGAGAUAGAUUUUUCUUCGGACUACGUACAAGGUGCUGCAUGGUUGUCGUCAGCUCGUGCCGUGAGGUGUCAGGUUAAGUCCUAUAACGAGCGCAACCCCUAUCGUUAGUUGCAAACAGGUAAAGCUGUGGACUCUAGCGAGACUGCCGGUGCAAACCGAGAGGAAGGCGGGGAUGACGUCAAAUCAUCACGGCCCUUACGUCCUGGGCUACACACGUGCUACAAUGGCAAUGACAGAGAGCAGCCACCUAGUGAUAGGGAGCGAAUCUAUAAACAUUGUCACAGUUCGGAUUGGAGUCUGCAACUCGACUCCAUGAAGCUGGAAUCGCUAGUAAUCGCAAAUCAGCCAUGUUGCGGUGAAUACGUUCCCGGGCCUUGUACACACCGCCCG